rnacentral:piRNA from 1 species
UGGAGCUCACAGUAGCUAGGCUG